GACGAACGCUGGCGGCGUGCCUAAUACAUGCAAGUCGAACGAACUCUGGUAUUGAUUGGUGCUUGCAUCAUGAUUUACAUUUGAGUGAGUGGCGAACUGGUGAGUAACACGUGGGAAACCUGCCCAGAAGCGGGGGAUAACACCUGGAAACAGAUGCUAAUACCGCAUAACAACUUGGACCGCAUGGUCCGAGUUUGAAAGAUGGCUUCGGCUAUCACUUUUGGAUGGUCCCGCGGCGUAUUAGCUAGAUGGUGGGGUAACGGCUCACCAUGGCAAUGAUACGUAGCCGACCUGAGAGGGUAAUCGGCCACAUUGGGACUGAGACACGGCCCAAACUCCUACGGGAGGCAGCAGUAGGGAAUCUUCCACAAUGGACGAAAGUCUGAUGGAGCAACGCCGCGUGAGUGAAGAAGGGUUUCGGCUCGUAAAACUCUGUUGUUAAAGAAGAACAUAUCUGAGAGUAACUGUUCAGGUAUUGACGGUAUUUAACCAGAAAGCCACGGCUAACUACGUGCCAGCAGCCGCGGUAAUACGUAGGUGGCAAGCGUUGUCCGGAUUUAUUGGGCGUAAAGCGAGCGCAGGCGGUUUUUUAAGUCUGAUGUGAAAGCCUUCGGCUCAACCGAAGAAGUGCAUCGGAAACUGGGAAACUUGAGUGCAGAAGAGGACAGUGGAACUCCAUGUGUAGCGGUGAAAUGCGUAGAUAUAUGGAAGAACACCAGUGGCGAAAGCGGCUGUCUGGUCUGUAACUGACGCUGAGGCUCGAAAGUAUGGGUAGCAAACAGGAUUAGAUACCCUGGUAGUCCAUACCGUAAACGAUGAAUGCUAAGUGUUGGAGGGUUUCCGCCCUUCAGUGCUGCAGCUAACGCAUUAAGCAUUCCGCCUGGGGAGUACGGCCGCAAGGCUGAAACUCAAAGGAAUCGACGGGGGCCCGCACAAGCGGUGGAGCAUGUGGUUUAAUUCGAAGCUACGCGAAGAACCUUACCAGGUCUUGACAUACUAUGCAAAUCUAAGAGAUUAGACGUUCCCUUCGGGGACAUGGAUACAGGUGGUGCAUGGUUGUCGUCAGCUCGUGUCGUGAGACGUUGGGUUAAGUCCCGCAACGAGCGCAACCCUUAUUAUCAGUUGCCAGCAUUAAGUUGGGCACUCUGGUGAGACUGCCGGUGACAAACCGGAGGAAGGUGGGGAUGACGUCAAAUCAUCAUGCCCCUUAUGACCUGGGCUACACACGUGCUACAAUGGAUGGUACAACGAGUUGCGAACUCGCGAGAGUAAGCUAAUCUCUUAAAGCCAUUCUCAGUUCGGAUUGUAGGCUGCAACUCGCCUACAUGAAGUCGGAAUCGCUAGUAAUCGCGGAUCAGCAUGCCGCGGUGAAUACGUUCCCGGGCCUUGUACACACCGCCCGUCACACCAUGAGAGUUUGUAACACCCAAAGUCGGUGGGGUAACCUUUUAGGAACCAGCCGCCUAAGGUGGGACAGAUGAUUAGGGUG
rnacentral:rRNA from 1 species